rnacentral:rRNA from 1 species
GAUGAACGCUGGCGGCGUGCCUAAUACAUGCAAGUAGAACGCUGAAGGAGGAGCUUGCUCUUCUGGAUGAGUUGCGAACGGGUGAGUAACGCGUAGGUAACCUGCCUGGUAGCGGGCGAUAACUAUUGGAAACGAUAGCUAAUACCGCAUGACAACAGUUAUUGCAUGAUAACUGUUUAAAAGGGGCAACUGCUCCACUACCAGAUGGACCUGCGUUGUAUUAGCUAGUUGGUGAGGUAACGGCUCACCAAGGCGACGAUACAUAGCCGACCUGAGAGGGUGAUCGGCCACACUGGGACUGAGACACGGCCCAGACUCCUACGGGAGGCAGCAGUAGGGAAUCUUCGGCAAUGGACGGAAGUCUGACCGAGCAACGCCGCGUGAGUGAAGAAGGUUUUCGGAUCGUAAAGCUCUGUUGUAAGAGAAGAACGAGUGUGAGAGUGGAAAGUUCACACUGUGACGGUAUCUUACCAGAAAGGGACGGCUAACUACGUG